UACAGAGGUCUCAAGCGUUGUUCGGAUUCAUUGGGCGUAAAGGGUGCGUAGGUGGCGCUGUAAGUCAGGUGUGAAAUUUCGGAGCUCAACUUCGAAACUGCAUUUGAUACUGCGGUGCUUGAGGACUGGAGAGGAGACUGGAAUUUACGGUGUAGCAGUGAAAUGCGUAGAGAUCGUAAGGAAGACCAGUGGCGAAGGCGGGUCUCUGGACAGUUCCUGACACUGAGGCACGAAGGCCAGGGGAGCAAACGGG
rnacentral:rRNA from 1 species